AACGAACGCUGGCGGCAGGCUUAACACAUGCAAGUCGAACGAGAUCUUCGGAUCUAGUGGCAGACGGGUGAGGAACACGUGGGAACAUCCCUUUCAGUUCGGAAUAACGUUGGGAAACUAACGCUAAUACCGGAUACGUCCUUCGGGAGAAAGAUUUAUCGCUGAAAGAUUGGCCCGCGUCUGAUUAGCUAGUUGGUGAGGUAAUGGCUCACCAAGGCUACGAUCAGUAGCUGAUCUGAGAGGAUGAUCAGCCACAUUGGGACUGAGACACGGCCCAAACUCCUACGGAAGGCAGCAGUGGGGAAUAUUGGACAAUGGGCGCAAGCCUGAUCCAGCCAUGCCGCGUGAGUGAUGAAGGCCUUCGGGUUGUAAAGCUCUUUUAUCCGGGAAGAUAAUGACUGUACCGGAAGAAUAAGCCCCGGCAAACUUCGUGCCAGCAGCCGCGGUAA
rnacentral:rRNA from 1 species